rnacentral:rRNA from 1 species
GACGAACCGUGCGAACGUUAUUCGGAAUCACUGGGCUUAAAGCGCGUGUAGGCGGGUCGGUACGUCGGUCGCUGAAAUCCCCCGGCUUAACCGGGGAACGGGCGCCGAAACGGCCGGCCUGGAGGAACGUAGGGGGAGCUGGAACUUCCGGUGGAGCGGUGAAAUGCGUUGAGAUCGGAAGGAACGCCCGUGGCGAAAGCGAGCUCCUGGACGUUUUCUGACGCUGAGACGCGAAAGCCAGGGGAGCGAACGGG